GGAAGGACUGUAGCUCGGUGGCAGAGAAUCUGUUUUGUGUACAGAAGGUCCCAGGUUCAGUCCCCAGCAUCUCCA